GAAAAUAUGAAAUUUGAAUAUUUUGAGCACUUCAUUCGAAAUUAUCUAAAACAUAUAUUUAUAAAAAAUUAUAAUAAACAAAAUGAUUUAAUACUUCAUAUUUGGAUACUACACCCUUUUUAUUAAUUAUUAGGAUUUAUUCAUCGUACUUAUUAAAAUAAAUAGGCCACAUCUAGCCAUCAAAACAAAGCCAGUUUACUGUAACAUUGAAUAUACAUUCAUGAAAGUAUCCCACCAAGAACAACUUCACUUAUAAACAAUGGGCAAGCUAUCCAUAUAUGUAUAUCAAUGGUUAGAAUAUACAUUACUGAAUACUAGUGGGUCAUAAAGGCUUAACAUUAAAAAUAAUUUUAUUAAAAAAUAAGCACAUAAAUCAUGGUAAAGCAAUCACUUACCACUUUGAAGGAUCCAGAUUCAAUUCCAAGCCCUCUGCCUUCAGUUUUUUCAAGAGAGGACCAUGCUUAGGCCUGGCUUUUUAGCUAAAUUAACCUAAAUAAGAAUGGAUCUAUGUAAGUCAGGGAUUUGCCUGUAUAUGAUAUUAAACAAAUAUAUUGUAUAAUCAAUAAUUUUAUAAAUUUUUUUUAAUUCUGUGCUUAAAAAUAUCAAAAUUCAUUAAUUUUCUUCCCUGCUAAUUUAUCUUUUUAAAUAAUUGUAAAACAUUUUGUUUAUUGUGCUUAAAAGUUAAACAAGAGACUGAGAUUGACUUGAGGAAAGAGAAUUUUUCUGGACAUAUUGAUCUCUGUGUGCACUACCAUAUCAUGGUUGCACACACAGAGAUAUGAUGGCAUGGGUAUGACUGAGGCACACAUGGGGGUUGAGGCCUAGAGAUGAAUGGUGGACAACAAGCAGGCAUACAUGGCACCCAAAUCUUUUUUUGUAAUGUCCCGAAAAUAUCUGCAGUUCAUUUGAAUUCUUCCUAUUCCGAAAAAUUAUGGAAGCCCCUUUUGCUGCCACCAACUGCACAUCAUUUUGCACUGCAUUAUACUUUCAGCCAACAGAUAUGCUAUGAUUUUGCUUGCAUGAUAAUAGAAUUUUAACCGUUAUUUCAAUACUGCUAUGUAAAAUUCAGUAUUCUGCUAUAUACUAAAUUAUAAAGAUAAUUAUUAAAAUAUUUUUAUGUCAAAAU
rnacentral:lncRNA from 1 species